CACAAAACUGUCGCCCUCGUCAGUCCUCCGUAGAGACCCGACCGAUUCGGCAGGUCCGUGCCAGCCCCGUUCUUUGUUCGCUCCUCCUGCGUUUGGCAACAUCUUUGCAAAGAACCACCGGCCACUCUGCGGCGAUUUUUGCGCGGUUUUCUCCGCCUCCACGGACGCUAGAACAGCGCGAGUCCCCCCGGCACCGAGCGCCGAGCUUGCUGCCUUCUCGGCAGGGGAACGGUAGUUUUCGGAUCUCAGUUUCGCCGAAGUCAGGAGCGUCGGGUUUGCUGGAGACGCGUUCGCUUCUGCAGGGUGCGACAGACUUUGGGGGAAGGACAGAGACGGAAUGCACUUGCUUUUGGAAAGCGCAUCACAAAAUGGUUGCGGCUUGUCUGCUCGAGAAAACGCUCCACCACCGGAGAGAUCCGCACAGGCCGUGGAGGCGUCAGUCGCCUUCUCGUCGGCUUCAUGGCCCAUGGGACCGAUCCAGGAAAGAAUGACGGGGAGAAGAAGCAUACCGUGACUCGCACCGAAGGCAACAACCUGAGGGAAAAGAAGAGAGGAAACAAAGAAACGAGACACGGGAGAAAGACAUUCUGGAAGACAUGUCGGCCCCGACAAGCAUCAAACGGGGAGGCGAGACGUGCAUGAGGCAACGUCACAGAAAGUCGCGGGAAGGAGGCAUGUUUUAACUCUUACGUAUGCGUACCUUUGCGACUACAUGGUACACAGAUAUAACUCUACAAAAGUAUAUGCUCACGCUGUAGAAUCUCGUUUUCUUCGCCGUUGUCAUGAAUGCAGAACCACUCGGUUUGCAUACUCUGUGCCUUUGCGUACACAUAUA
rnacentral:lncRNA from 1 species